GCGGGUGUAGUUCAAGGGUAGAACACUAUCCUUCCAAGCUGGAUACGCCCGUACGGGUCACCCGCU
rnacentral:tRNA from 1 species